UACGAAGGGGGGCUAGCGUUGCUCGGAAUCACUGGGCGUAAAGGGUGCGUAGGCGGGUCUUUAAGUCAGGGGUGAAAUCCUGGAGCUCAACUCCAGAACUGCCCUUUGAUACUGAAGAUCUUGAGUCCGGGAGAGGUGAGUGGAACUGCGAGUGUAGAGGUGAAAUUCGUAGAUAUCGAGAGGAAUAUCUGUGGCGAAGGCGGCCGACUGGACAGAUACUGACGCUGAGAACACGAAAGUGUGGGGAGCAAACAGG
rnacentral:rRNA from 1 species